GACUUGGCCUGUGCUCUCCUUUGGCUGAGUGACAUCGUGUGUUUCCUAGCAGGUGAAGACAUUCGUGGAGAGAGGCGGUUUCCAUGCGUGCAGGCAAAGUGUGUGCUGAGAUGAUGAGUUGCUGGAGACCAGGGUGGACUCUUCAGACCCAGAAUAGGCCUCUGGCAGGAGGAGAAGGCAUUCGUGGAGAGAGGCAGAUUCCAUGUGUGCAGGCAAAGUGUGUGCUGACAUGAUGAGACGCUGGAGACCAGGGUGGACUCUUCAGACCCAGGAUAGACCUCUGGCAGGUCAAAGAACUGGAAGAAAAAGGCCGUCUGAGAUGAAAGAAGCAAAAGAGAGGAGAGGGUUCUUAACCUGGGGAGAACAGCGAGAACACAGUUAUAGAGACCAGAAGAGCUCACUGGUUCCAAGAACAAGAAGAAAUGCACUGGAUCUGAUUAUUACUGUCUGUGGUGUGCUCUCCUUCAAGUGAUUCAAAUCUUUUGUCUGUCAUUAUAGAAAAUUUUCACCUAUUUAAAAUAUCUAACGAAACACAUUAAAAUAUACAUGUAUCUAUGAUGUUUAUCAAUUUCCGAAGUUCUGAAAUUGUUUUUUAUUACAUUUUCAAGAUUACAGAUUUGUAUGACAAAAAAGUUACAUCAGGGUCCCACCCUCGUAUGUAAUUUGCUCCCACUCCCACAAGGUAUCCAAUGUUAAUAGACACAUAUGUGUCCUUCCGUACACUUCUCUGCAGGGACACAUAUACACAGUCACAGGUACACAAGUACAUCUGCUGGGAUGUUUGCUUUUAUGGAAACUUGGUCUCACUCUAUCCACAUUGCUCUUGCCCCUUCUUUCACUUGACAUUCUACCUUGAUUCUCUGUAAGUCAUUAGAUAUGGCACUAACACUAUAUUUUUGGGUCUUUAACUUACAUGAAUAAUUUAAAUAGAUGAUAUCAAUUCAGUACACUUUAUCUGGACUUGUACAUGUUGUUGUUAGAAGCUAUCAAGUCAGUUCUGACUCACAGUGACCCUAGGCACCACAGAACAAAACUCGGCCGGUCACUGCAAUCCUAAUAAUCGUUGCUAUAUUUGAGCACACUGUUGCAGCCAUUGUAUCAAUCUCAUUGAGGGUCUUCCUCUUUUUCCCUGGACCUCUGCUUUACUAAGCAUGAUGUCCUUUUCCAGGGACUAGUCCCUCUUGAUAAGAUGUCCAAAGCCAUCCUUACUUCUAAGGAAUAUUCUGGCUUUCUCUGCUCAAGACAGAUUUAUUUGUCCAUACAUAACACCACUAAAAUGGAAACAUUAUCAUCCAUGCUUUUUAAGUCCACUCUUCCUGCAUGUUCUAACUCUCCUCCCCCUGUUCUUUCCCACAAGUGAAUCCAAGGUAAUUCAGGUUAACAAUGUGGUAAGUAGUCUCUCUUAUCCUUCUUAAACAAGCCCACACAGACUUGCAUGUACCCUCGUCUUCUCAUUUAUACACACACAUAAACAUAAACAGGUAUUCAAGCAUAUUCAAACAAUUGAUAUUGUUUAACCCAGAUGUGCUCAUUUUAUAUACAUUUCUCUGCACCUUGAUUGUUUCAGUAAUACUUCCAUAAUACUUUAUAGAGAUUUCUCCCACUCAACUACUACAACUCUUUUUCAUUCUAAUGACUCCCUGUUUUCUUGAGGAUGUAGCUUUACCAUAAGUUCUCUAUCAUUCCACCAUCAAUGGACAGUCAAA